UACGUAGGGACCAAGCGUUGUUCGGAUUUACUGGGCGUAAAGGGCGCGUAGGCGGCGUGUUAAGUCAGCUGUGAAAUCUCCAGCUUAACUUGGAACGGUCAGCUGAUACUGAUGUGCUAGAGUGCAGAAGGGGCAAUCGGAAAUUCUUGGUGUAGCGGUGAAAUGCGUAGACUAUCAGGAGGGAACACCGGUGGGCGAAGGCGGGUCUCUGGGCGAGUAACUGACGCUGGAGGAAGCGAAAGCGUCGGGUAGCAAACAGG
rnacentral:rRNA from 1 species